rnacentral:rRNA from 1 species
CCCCUAGAUGUUCUGGGCCGCACGCGCGCUACACUGGACAGUUCAACAAGUCUUAACCUUGGCCGAUAGGUCUGGGUAAUCUUUGAACGCUGUUCGUGAUUGGGAUAGACCUUUGCAAUUAUGGGUCUUCAACGAGGAAUUCCUAGUAAACGCAAGUCAUCAGCUUGCAUUGAUUACGUCCCUGCCCUUUGUACACACCGCCCGUCGCACCUACCGAUUGAAUGGUCCGGUGAAAUCUCGGGACGGCGGCUUGGUCGCUUGCGUCCGACUGCUGAAACUUGAUUAAACCAUAUCAUUUAGAGGAAGGUGAAGUCGUANCA